rfam:Myotis brandtii contig163893, whole genome shotgun sequence.
CAUGCACUGGUGGGGUCCCUCGGCCUGGCCUGCAGACAUCUCCUGAGGGGUCCCAGAUUGCAAGAGGGAGCAGGCCAGGCCGAGGGACCCCACCAGUGCACA